GAAGAACGCUGGCGGCGUGCCUAAUACAUGCCAGUCGAGCGAACAGAUGAGGAGCUUGCUCCUCUGACGUUAGCGGCGGACGGGUGAGUAACACGUGGAUAACCUACCUAUAAGACUGGGAUAACUUCGGGAAACCGGAGCUAAUACCGGAUAAUAUAUUGAACCGCAUGGUUCAAUAGUGAAAGACGGUUUUGCUGUCACUUAUAGAUGGAUCCGCGCCGCAUUAGCUAGUUGCUAAGGUAACGGCUUACCAAGGCAACGAUGCGUAGCCGACCUGAGAGGGUGAUCGGCCACACUGGAACUGAGACACGGUCCAGACUCCUACGGGAGGCAGCAGUAGGGAAUCUUCCGCAAUGGGCGAAAGCUUGACGGAGCAACGCCGCGUGAGUGAUGAAGGUCUUCGGAUCGUAAAACUCUGUUAUUAGGGAAGAACAAAUGUGUAAGUAACUAUGCACGUCUUGACGGUACCUAAUCAGAAAGCCACGGCUAACUACGUG
rnacentral:rRNA from 1 species